GACGAACGCUGGCGGCGUGCUUAACACAUGCAAGUCGAACGAAGAGCGAUGGAAGCUUGCUUCUAUCAAUCUUAGUGGCGAACGGGUGAGUAACGCGUAAUCAACCUGCCCUUCAGAGGGGGACAACAGUUGGAAACGACUGCUAAUACCGCAUACGAUCUAAACUCGGCAUCGAGGAUAGAUGAAAGGUGGCCUCUACAUGUAAGCUAUCACUGAAGGAGGGGAUUGCGUCUGAUUAGCUAGUUGGAGGGGUAACGGCCCACCAAGGCGAUGAUCAGUAGCCGGUCUGAGAGGAUGAACGGCCACAUUGGGACUGAGACACGGCCCAGACUCCUACGGGAGGCAGCAGUGGGGAAUCUUCCGCAAUGGACGAAAGUCUGACGGAGCAACGCCGCGUGAGUGAUGACGGCCGUCGGGUUGUAAAGCUCUGUUAAUCGGGACGAAAGGCCUUCUUGCGAAUAGUGAGAAGGAUUGACGGUACCGGAAGAGAAAGCCACGGCUAACUACGUG
rnacentral:rRNA from 1 species